CUAUAUAUGGGUACUUGCUUCACUCAUAUAUGGGUAAAUGCAAUUAUGCCAAUAUUAUUGGUAAAACUUACCUAAAAAAUCGAUUAAAUUUACUGAUAUUCUGAAAAAACCGACUUUACCUAUAUAUGAGUGAUCGCAUUUACCCAUAUUUGGGUGAAAAAAUAAACGUAACAGAUACAAAUUGAUGGCCACCGGGGCCACCGUUCGCAGUAGUUUGGACAUUUUCUCCGUUUCAUCCUCGAUACAGUCGACGAUAUGCUCGACUAAUAUUCGUGUAAUUCCGAGUGCAGUUCUUGAUGUUAGCGUUUCGUUUGGAACUUUUUCAAAAUCUUAACCUGUUUCGAUCAGUCUGAGCAGCUGUCGGAUAUCGAUCUUGAAAGUGUUCUAUUUCGAGACCAGCUCCCGGGUCAUCGAUGGAGAACUUCUCACAGCUGCGAGUCUCUGACCCCGGACAUAGUUAAGACCAGUGCUACGGAAUCGAUCCGCCAGCAAACAUCGUAUUUACCCACCGCGGAUGUCCCGAGCAGUUUGCAGAUUCCCACUCAACAGGACCUCAUUGCGCAGAAAUUAACCAUUGGUCCUUUAAAUUAUAAGGAAAAUGAAACCAUUUCCUCACCUCGAGGUAAAAAUCGAACGACUUCUCCUGUGCGGGGGCGAAUAUUGACAGCACCUGGUACCGAACCUGGCACCCAGACAUAAAUGGACUUAUUUAAAUUCUCAAGGCCGAUGAAAUUAACACGAUUUGUUGCUAAAAGGUCCCCCGGACGUAAGAAAUCAUUUCCGUACAACUCCAACGUUAAGAUGUUCGAUUUGCAUGCUGCCUUGCCUCGUCGCUCCCGAAAGUUGCCGGUAAGAAAAACAGGUCGGAAAAAGGAAAAGGAGAAAAAAUCAGUCGGACCGUUCAAGACGGGGGCAUCACCAGAGGGAAAUGGAACGUAAACCAAGGAGGAGUUAUUCUUUUUUUGUACCAGAAGCUGCUGUUUGAUGUUGCUGCUCCGAUAACAUCCGGAUCGCAGAUUUGCGAUUAGAUUGGUAGGUCAGGUAAGAUCUCGGUGCGAUCAGUCGCUACGUUUCAGCCAAGCCAAGCUGUCACCGAGGCUGUCACCAGUUCCAGAAUUCCAUCAAAAUUCCGCACUAACUUGUGAUCCGGUGCUUGCUGCGAUCCUCCACGGCAGUGAUGAGCAGCUGAGGGAUGUUCCGGUUCGUCUGGAAUUGCUAUACCAUAAAUAAAAUUUCCUGCAGCUGCUUGCAUUGCAGCAAUAGUCAGACUUCCGGCAAAUGUAUAUAACAUAAAAAAAUAAUUUAAUGCAAUAAAAUAAUUUGCUUAAUUUAUUUAUAUAUUUUUUAUUACGUGAAAUAUGAAUUUUAUUCAAUGCGAAUGUAAAUACCAAACAAAAAAAUAUUACCCAUAUUUAGGUGAAUUCCACCUAUAAUGUUGUACCCAUAAAUAGGUAAAUGUUACCAAUAUUUCUAUGAGGUACUUGUACUCAAAUAUGGGUAAAUGGCAUUUCACCCAUAAAUACGUAUGUGCACUUUUUCGGGAUUAUAGGUACUGUUCACCCAUAUUUGGGUGAACUGAACUAAGCGUGU